rnacentral:miRNA from 1 species
UAGAUGGCCCCUGGUUGGAGGUAUGGGUGAGGCCUAAGCUUCUGCAUUUCUAACAAGUUCCCAGGUGAUGCCAC